CAAGGAGCAUAGCAAGUUGGAAAAAUACAAGAAGGCCUCAAAAGCUCUCAAAGUUUGAAAGAAAGUUAUACUUCAUUGGCCCAAGUUUCAAGUUCAAAGGAUUCAAGUUGGAGGAGCAAAUUCAAAGAAAGAUUCAAAAGAAUAGUCCUUGAGUCGACUCCUGGAAGUUCAGAGUCGACUCUGGCACUCUGGAGUUUCAAGGAACAGUGCUCGAGUCGACUCCGACUGAGAACAGACAAAAAGACAGAGAGUUGAUUUUCAGCGCUACAGUGCUCGAGUCGACUCCUACUUCAGCGCUGCAGUGCUCGAGUCGACUCCCAGCUACAGUGCCGGCAGACUCUUAUUCACGAGUCGACUCCUACUUCAGCCGAGUCGACUCGAACACGCUUGGAGGCAUAACGGCUAGUUUUUUCUCAACUCCAACGGCUCUAUUUUUGUCUCUAACGGCUAGAUCUUUGUUCCCACGCCAUCCAAAGCUAUAAAAUCAAGGGAAGAGCUAGGAAAGAAGUUAAGAAAGUGGGAGAAAAGGGAAGAGAUUUCAAGAGAAACCUCCCAAAAGCACAAAAGGGCCAUUCAAAGCAAAAGAGAGAAAAGAAGAGCAUCCGAGUGAAUCCCAAAGCUUCAUCUCUAACUAUGUGCUGCCUCAGUGAUCCUCUACCUCGUGCGAAAUCAAAAGAGAGCCAAAUAAAGAAGAAGCCGAGUUUCCUCAUCUACAAAACUUGUUUGAGGGCUUAUCUUUACUCUAUUUGUUUACAUUGUUAUAUCUGCUUGUUUAAGAAGCUUUGAUUUGUUUUAAACUCUUGUUCUAAUAUCUUGUAACUUGAUUCAAUCCCUUGAUUGAAUCAAGGGGUUAAGGUUUGUUGGUGAGCCAAAGGGAAAACCAACGGUGUAAGCUGGUAGUUGGUGAACCGGAAAAACCAACUGGGUUGGAUUGUGAGCCCGUGAAAACAAUCAGAUUGGUUCUAGUCGGUGAGCCUGUGAAAACCGACCGAGUUCGUUGUGAUCUUGUGAAAACAAGUUAGGUUGUGAGUUUGUAAAACAACCGGCUGUAAUCUGAGGGAUUAUAGUAAAAUUUCCAAGAGGUCUUGGGGAGUGGAUUUAGGUGCUGGGGUGCACCGAACCACUAUACAUCUUUGUGUUUGUGAUGCUUUAUCUCUUAUGUUACAUGCCUUACAUUCAUACUUGAUUGUGUAAUAUCUCUAGCUUUGUUUCUUACUGAUUUAUAAGUGAUUGUUUAGAACUUGCUUAGCUUCCACUCCAUUCUUACCAUUCACAUAGAUUAAAAUUGAUCAUACAACUAUAAGUUAAUUUUAGAUCAAUUGCACCCUAAAGCCAUAGUACAAUUGCUCUAGCUUAAUUUUUCACUGCUUUACUUGUAAUUGCCUAGAGCUUAAGUAGCAUCUUAUCAUCCAGCUGCAUUCAAUUCAAAGUAAAAAUUAAGGAACAUAAUUUUUAGAAAACCCAAUUCACCCCCCCUCUUGGGUUGUCAUCUCGGACAACAUGAGGCAUCUUUCAGUAGCUACUACCGUACGUAGCCCGGAGCAUCUUACAGGUCGGAUUUUGCUGACAACAUAUUUGGAUGAGCCUCUUCCUAACCGUUUUAUCAGCCAGGGGACACCUCUCAGAGCCAGAGCUUCAAUGAGACAUCCGAGAGUGCUUAUAACUCGGCGUGCGUUCCUUAUGCAAUGAACGUAUAAGCUAUGCCGCUUAGUUAAAAAGAUAGGCUAAUGUGCCUCCUGACUAUGCUGAUGAUCCGGAUAUUUACGAGAGACAUCGCUACUCGACCUGAUUUUAGAUAUCGAUAUGUAAUUGAUUGUAUUAUUUUUUAAAUUUUUAUGUCACUACUUGAUUCGAAAAUAUUUUAUGUUGUUCAUUUUAUGAUUUGUAUCAUUUUAAAACAAUAAAAUGCAUCAUCUAGGUUAAACCGGAAUCAUAAAAACAUCAGAAAACAUCAAAAAAACAUCAAAAAAAUAAUAUCAAAUUAGAUUAAAAUUUAUUGAAAAAGUUCAAAAAGACUGAUUACCAAUUAAAUUUUGUUGAGAACUUCCAAAAAAAUGGGCGUGCUGAUACGCAUCCCAAUACCGGUUCAGCGGACCUCGCCAGC
rnacentral:lncRNA from 1 species